UGAUUGAGGGAAAAAAACGGGAAGUUCAUUCUCGUUCUUUUGCGCACCCAAUUUUGCUCAUGCCUUUUUGUUGUGUAAAAGGGCAAAUGUAAACGGUUAAACUGGAAGACUUACGCCUGUGAAUUCGUUGUCAUGAUUUUUAGCUGUAAGGU
rnacentral:misc_RNA from 1 species